rnacentral:tRNA from 1 species
GAAUCCAAGGAGGCCUAGAAUGAGCUGAAUGGGAU